CUUGAGAAGAUUUCAUAAUUUUAAUUUCAACAAAAGCUAUAUAACUAAAUAAUUAAAAAUUUCGCACUAGGGCGCAUGCGCUCCUAACUUCAUUAGAUACUCGGUAUAGGUUUGUUUCUCGAUGUACAACUAGAAAAAUAAAGUAUCAUUAAUUAGGAUAAUUGUUCCAAAACAUGCACAAGAAAUUUUUAUACAGUCAUUAGUUUGACACAGGGACUGAAUUAUGAAAAUUAAGUUCUUUGUGGCAUCAAAGUUUACGUUAUUUUCGCAAAAAGCAUCCUUUCAACAUAGUUUAAAAUAAAAGGUUUCAAAGCGUAUAUUAUUCUUAAAUAACAAAUAUAUAUAUAUUUUUUUUUAUAUUUCAUUUAUAGUAUUAAAUACAUACUCGUUUUCGCAUUACAGUCCCUGAUUAAGAAUUUUUCCAAACUGCACUAUUGCAGUUCGCUUGUUUUUGCAUGUUUGUUGUGGAGAAAAAAAA